UAACUAUUUAUAUUAUAUAAUUUAAUUGUUUUUAUUUAUAAAUAAAAUAUUAUUGAGUUGUUAGUAAAAUUUAAGAAAUUAUUUAUAUAAUGUGAUAAGUACGGUUACGGAAUAAUGAAAUAAAAAUUAAAAUUGAUUUAAUAUUAGUAAUAAUUAAAAUGUGUACCUUUUGUAUCAGGGUUUUACAAAUAUAAAUAAUAAUUUACUUUUCCCGAAAUAUUCUGAUCUAUUAUAAUAGAUAUUUUAAUGUGAAAUAAUUAUGUUUAAUAUUAUAAUAGUAACGAAAAGUUAUUCGUAGAAUAUAAUAUCUGGUUGUUUAAGAUAAUAAUUGAAUUUAUUUAUGUAGUGGGAGUUAAUAAAAUGAUAAGUUUGUUCUUUUGUAAAAAGCUUUACUGCAUCAGAAAAUGGUUGAGGGAUAAGCUUCAACUAUAUUUUAAAGAUUUUAGUUAAAUUAAAAUUAAAUUAGGAUUGGAAGCUUCCAUAACUGGAAAGAGCGUUAUAGCAUAUAUUUAAGUAUUUAAAAUUUAUAAAGUUUUAAAUUUUAUUAUUAAACUAAUAAUAUUAAAUAAGAUUUAUUAUUUAAUAAUGUAAUAAUUAGUAUAUAAAAUUUAUUAAAGUGAUUAUAGUUGAUAAAUUUUUAAAAGGAAUUCAGCAAAAAAAAAAUUACCCCGCCUGUUUAUCAAAAACAUGGCUUUAUGAUUUUUAUAUAAAAUCAGGCCUGCCCACUGAUAAUUAUUAAAUGGCCGCGGUAUUUUGACCGUGCAAAGGUAGCAUAAUAAUUUGUCUUUUAAUUGAAGGCUGGAAUGAAGGGUUUUACGAGAAAAUUACUGUCUCUUAUUAAAUAUUAUAAAAUUUAACUUUUUGGUGAAAAGGCUAUUGGGUAUAAAUAUUUCUGAAGGACAAUAAGACCCUAUAGAUCUUAAUAUUUAAAUUAAUAUAUUAAUUUAGUUAAACAUAUUAUCGAUAUAUUGAUUUUAAUAUUUAGUUGGGGCGACAAGAAGAUAAAAUUACCUCUUUUUAAAUAUUUAUUGUAUUUAUAAAUAUAAAUUUUAUUUGAUCCAAAAUUUUUGAUUAUAAGAAUAAGUUACCUUAGGGAUAACAGCGUAAUCUUUUUUGAGAGUUCUAAUCGACGAAAAGGGUUGCGACCUCGAUGUUGGAUUAAGAUUUCCUAUGAAAAGGUGCAGCGGCCAUUUAAAAGGAAGGUCUGUUCGACCUUUAAAAUCUUACAUGAUCUGAGUUCAAACCGGUGUGAGCCAGGUUGGUUUAUAUCCGCAGAUGUAAUUAAUAUAUUUUUAGUACGAAAGGACCAAAAUAUGGAAAUAAUUUUAUGAUUGAAGAAUAUAAAUA
rnacentral:rRNA from 1 species